rnacentral:rRNA from 1 species
GACGAACGCUGGCGGCGUGCUUAACACAUGCAAGUCGAACGGUAAGGCCCUUUCGGGGGUACACGAGUGGCGAACGGGUGAGUAACACGUGGGUGAUCUUCCCUGCACUUUGGGAUAAGCCUGGGAAACUGGGUCUAAUACCGGAUAGGACUACGCGAUGCAUGUCGUGUGGUGGAAAGCUUUUGCGGUGUGGGAUGGGCCCGCGGCCUAUCAGCUUGUUGGUGUGGUGAUGGCCUACCAAGGCGACGACGGGUAGCCGGCCUGAGAGGGUGGCCGGCCACACGGGGCCUGAGAUACGGCGCAGACUCCAACGGGAGGCAGCAGUGGGGAAUAUUGCACAAUGGGCGCAAGCCUGAUGCAGCGACGCCGCGUUGGGGAUGACGGCCUUCGGGGUGUAAACCCCUUUCAGCACAGACGAAGCGUAAGUGACGGUAUGUGCAGAAGAAGCACCGGCCAACUACGUG